rnacentral:rRNA from 1 species
UACGGAAGGCAGCAGUGGGGAAUAUUGCACAAUGGGCGAAAGCCUGAUGCAGCUAUGCCGCGUGUAUGAAGAAGGCCUUAGGGUUGUAAAGUACUUUCAUCGGGGAGGAAAAAACAAAACUAAUAAUUUUAUUUCUUGACGUUACCCGAAAAAGAAGCACCGGCUAACUCCGUGCCAGCAGCCGCGGUAAUACGGAGGGUGCUAGCGUUAAUCAGAAUUACUGGGCGUAAAGAGCACGUAGGUGGUUUUUUUAAAGUCAGAUGUGAAAUCCCUGGGCUUAACCUAGGAACUGCAUUUUGAAACUGAAAUACUAGAGUAUCGUAGAGGGAGGUAGAAUUCUAGGUGUAGCGGUGAAAUGCGUAGAUAUCUGGAGGAAUACCUGUGGCGAAAGCGGCCUCCUAAACCGAAUACUGACACUGAGGUGCGAAAGCUGGGGAGCAAACAGGGAUUAGAUACC